rnacentral:rRNA from 1 species
CGGCUCAGUAACACGUGGAUAACCUGCCCUUGGGUCCGGCAUAACCCCGGGAAACUGGGGAUAAUUCCGGAUAACGCACAUAUGCUGGAAUGCUUUAUGCGUCAAAUGGAUUCGUCCGCCCAAGGAUGGGUCUGCGGCCUAUCAGGUAGUAGUGGGUGUAAUGUACCUACUAGCCUACGACGGGUACGGGUUGUGAGAGCAAGAGCCCGGAGAUGGAUUCUGAGACAUGAAUCCAGGCCCUACGGGGCGCAGCAGGCGCGAAAACUUUACAAUGCGGGAAACCGUGAUAAGGGGACACCGAGUGCCAGCAUCAUAUGCUGGCUGUCCGGGUGUGUAAAAUACACCUGUUAGCAAGGGCCGGGCAAGACCGGUGCCAGCCGCCGCGGUAACACCGGCGGCCCGAGUGGUGAUCGUGAUUAUUGGGUCUAAAGGGUCCGUAGCCGGUUUGGUCAGUCCUCCGGGAAAUCUGACGGCUCAACCGUUAGGCUUUCGGGGGAUACUGCCAGACUUGGAACCGGGAGAGGUAAGAGGUACUACAGGGGUAGGAGUGAAAUCUUGUAAUCCCUGUGGGACCACCUGUGGCGAAGGCGUCUUACCAGAACGGGUUCGACGGUGAGGGACGAAAGCUGGGGGCACGAACCGGAUU